GUCGAACGGCAGCACGGACUUCGGUCUGGUGGCGAGUGGCGAACGGCCGUGUAAUACAUCGGAACGUACCCAGUAAUGGGGGAUAACUACUCUAAAGAUUAGCUAAUACCGCAUACGCCCUACGGGGGAAAGAGGGGGAUCGCAAGACCUCUUGUUAUUGGAGCGGCCGAUGGCUGAUUAGCUAGUUGGUGGGGUAAAGGCCUACCAAGGCGACGAUCAGUAGCGGGUCUUAGAGGACGAUCCGCCACACUGGAACUGAGACACGGUCCAGACUCCUACGGGAGGCAGCAGUGGGGAAUCUUGGACAAUGGGCGAAAGCCUGAUCCAGCAAUGCCGCGUGCGUGAAGAAGGCCUUCGGGUUGUAAAGCGCUUUUGUCUGGGAGCAAAUCCUUGUGGCUAAUACCCACCGGGGAUGAGAGUACCAGAAGAAUAAGGACCGGCUAACUACGUGCCAGCAGCCGCGGUAAUACGUAGGGUCCAAGCGUUAAUCGGAAUUACUGGGCGUAAAGCGUGCGCAGGUGGUUUGUUAAGCGCGAUGUGAAAUCCCCGAGCUCAACUUGGGAAUUGCAUUGCGAACUGACUGACUAGAGUACGGCAGAGGGGGGUGGAAUUCCACGUGUAGCAGUGAAAUGCGUAGAGAUGUGGAGGAACACCGAUGGCGAAGGCAACCCCCUGGGCUGAUACUGACACUCAUGCACGAAAGCGUGGGGAGCAAACAGGAUUAGAUACCCUGGUAGUCCACGCCCUAAACGAUGUCUACUAGUUGUUGGGCUUUUCGGAGCUUAGUAACGCAGCUAACGCGUGAAGUAGACCGCCUGGGGAGUACGGUCGCAAGACUAAA
rnacentral:rRNA from 1 species